UGUGCACAGCCUGAAGCUCUGCCCAGCAAAACCUCCUCUGCGCUGCUCUUCCUCCCACUCCAGAAAAUUAAGUGAGAGCAGGUAUUAAGCCUUCCUCUUCUCACCACCUGAUCUACCAACGCUGGAAUGAACAGAGUGACAAUCUGCAGCUUGCACAAGUGAUGAACUGGGGGAAGUGGUGCCAGAGGAGUAGAACAGGGCUAGCGGACUCUGGCCAUUUCAUCUCUGUGCAUCAGUGCUAAUGAUGCCGUGGCUCCGUACCUCGCAAGUCACGGGAUACAGGGACCGAGCUUUGCAAGGAAAAGAUUCCCCAACUGUCUGUCCGUGGCACAGAAAACUACUUUUCCGUCCUUCCAGACCAAGCAAUUGCCAGA